rnacentral:rRNA from 1 species
CGGUAAUACGUAGGGUGCAAGCGUCGAUCGGAAUUACUGGGCGUAAAGCGUGCGCAGGCGGUGAUGUAAGACAGUGUGAGCUUUAUAACACUUAACCUGGGAACUGCACCCAUGACUGCAUCGCUGGAGUGCGGCGAGAAGGAGCGGUUAACCGCGUGUAGCAGUGAAAUGCGUAGAUAUGCGGAGGAACACCGAUGGCGAAGGCAAUCCCCUGGGCCUGCACUGACGCUCAUGCACGGGAGCGUGGGGAGCAAACAAAAUUAGGUACCCUGGUAGUCCACGCCCUAAACGAUGCUAACUGGUUGUUGGGUCUUCACUGACUCAGUAACGAAGCUAACGCGUAGGACCAACCCGGCACACAGUACGGCCGCAAGGUUGAA